CCCACUUCAAGUUAUCGCAGAGGCAGUUGGUCUCCCAUCACAAGAAGGGUGAUUACAGUACAGUGUUUAGAGAAGGACUGCAUUCAUCUUUUAUUACAGUUUUUCAGGUUGAGAUUACUGGGAAGGGAGAGAAUCAAACAUCCAUAAAUCAGAGGAGGUCUACUCACAACAUGAGAAGCGCAAAGUACUGAAAAGUCAAGUAUGAAUUAAGGAUGAGGAAUUUUGUCUGACAGUGGCAUAGAAAAAUUUAUGCAAACUUUCUUCUCAAUCCAUGUCCUACAGUGACAAGAUGAAAUAGCCCCCAAUCUUCUUUGGCAAAUCAGAAGACAUUCAACCUAGACUAGGUUCCAGUUAUGAUCAUGGCAGCUUUAAAGAGAAACUGAUGGCUAAGAAGACUACUAGCAAGUAUUUUUCCUGAGUUUCUCAAGAUAUGAAUGGGCUAGCUCAGUCUGGGGAAAAUACAUAUAAGGAAUAGAUCUAAAAAGCAUAAUGGAUUUUCCCUCCAGUCAUUUCAAAUGGGUUUUUCCUGACCCGUUAUGUUACCUAAACACAAAUUGAAUCAGUGUGGUAUGGAGACCACCAAAUUUCUAUUUGAAAGUCUACUUAAACACACGUACGAUGCUGGUUGUUUCCGACAUUAUUCUAAACUGCAAAGUCUCAAGUCCGGCUCCUGUGUUUUCCAGUUUCCCUGGUGUCUGUGACACAGCAAGACAGCCGCUUUGGCCAUUUAAUGCUUCAAUACCCAACCAUCUCAUUUUUGCUCAGAACUUAAAAAAUGAGCAUGUCCGUUUUUCUUUUCAGUCAUUAGUUUGGCACUGAGUGCUGUGUUAAGUGACUUCUGAUUUUUAUUUGUAAUGCUUCUGGAACUGUUUUGGCAUAACAGAAGCUGAAAUCCUUACUAUAUUGUUGCAGGAUGGGGAGAUUUAAACAUGUUAAAGAUUAGUUUUUUGCUGAA